CCCUCUUGUAGAUGUAAAGCGGCUCGCAGACUUGAAGUUCACACACAUCAAGUCGUGUAGCGAGUGUGAGCUACAGGGACCCAGUGAGCACAGAGGAAACGAAGCAGAAAUUCAGGAUUUUCACUGAAUAAAAUACCCAGAGAAGCAGCAAAGGCUGAGGAAGUCACGUAUGCAGAAGUCAAGGUUUAUCAUCAGAGGCCCAACUGAGAAACAGUAUUUAGUGUUUGAAUGUUGUAYAGAACAGAUUUGCUGCAACAGUACUGGUUUUAUGAAAAA